CCUUUCUUGAGGUGUUUUUUUCCUCUCUGACCAGAACCUUCAGCAGCAGCUUGUGUGACACGUUCACCAUGGACUUGACUUCCAAGAUUGUUUGCAGUAAGGCCCUCCACCCAGGCUGGCUCAGAAGCUUGUUCUAUGACACUAAGCUGCAUAAAAGAAAAUGAAAAUUUAAGGAUGCAGAAGCUCAGAAGAGAGGUCCUCUAGCUCUUUUAGUCCUCUUGACUUGUCCAAAAGCUUCAGCAGCAUCAGUACCUUGAUCCUGUGUGAUACUUGCCUGCAUUCAAGAAUAAGAAUAUCAAAGCUCCAUAACAACAACUCAAAGGUUACUUACAUUGGAAUUUAUCUGAGUAGGAUCAAGCACUUGACUACCACUUGCAUCUCCCUCAACAACAGUGUUUUCACUGUUAGCAUUGACCUGUAUGCAGGUAAAACACAAAGAUGAUUGAAUUAGUUUAUCCUUUCAUGAUUGUAUGUAAAAAAGAUAGAAGGAGAGUUGGUAAUUUUACCCUGUCAGCAGAUUGUCUUCUAGGUCUAGCAGCAGCCUGAUUGCUACUUUCAGGGACUUGGGAAUCUGGGGAGACCACUGGAUUCCUGCAGCUUCUUGAAUUAUGCCCAAACUGCCCACACCUACUGCAUUUAUUCCUAGCCACACCUCUGCGUAACCUUGUCUGAUUGUCAGUUGUGUCUUCAUGUGGAUCUCUCCUCCUUAGCUUCUAAGGUCUCCCUGGGGCUCUCUUGUACAAAGGAGGCAGGAUGUAAGGAUCAUUGGUUGUUGGCCAAAGUUUUUGACCAUUAAUGGGUGUGAUGACAUGGCCAUAAGUUGCCAUAUAGGCUUCCCUCCUGUAGUAUGGAUGGACAAAGUCUUCUGGCCUUUGUGAACUGUGUGAAAUGGCAGCAACUGCGUGCCUACAGGGGAUCCCCACCAAUUCCCAUAAGUUACAACUGCAAGUGUGCUCAGCCAGAUUAACAACAAACUAGUCUUGGCUGACUAUGUGCUUGACCUCAUACUUAUCUUCACCACAACGUGUAGCAACCCAGUGUCUCACCAUUUCAAUCUCAUGCUCCAAUCUUUUCAAUGGCUUUGGCAUGACUUCCCCCUUAUACUUCUCCAACUUUUCAUUCAUUGUAGCAAACCUCCCCAUAAUGUAACUUCUGAUCCAAUCCACCAUUGUCAGAACUGGCUUAUCCCUGACCAACAAUAUGGUAGCAUUAAAUGACUCUGACAGAUUAUUCAUCAACACAUCACAUUUUGAAUAAAAUGUGAAUGCAUGCUUGCACCAAGCCCUUGUAGGAAUCUGCAUCAGCCAAGUGUAUGCUUCUAGAUGCAAUGCCUGCAACUCCAUCAUCUUUUCAGUCCAUAGCUGGUGAUAGGUUGCCUUUGCAGCAGCCAUCAUGAGGUUCCUUAUGACUACCCCUCCUCCAAACUUCUUUUUAAAGUUGGCAUAUAGAUGCCUAAGACAGAAUAUGUGUUCUACUCCUCCCAUGAGGUCAUCAAAAACAGUUAGCAAACCCUACAAAAUUUAGGACACUUCAUAAAUGGGUUCAAUAAGGAAAUUAGUUAAAUGGACAGUUAGUGAAAUUGACAUUUUACCUUCUGUUGAUCAGAAAUGAAUAUCCACCUUCUAUCUGCCCCAAUGUCAUCUAAUAAAAUUUCAAGGAACCAUCUCCAGCUCUCCUUGCAUUCUGAUUCAACAACUGCAAAAGCCAAGGGGAAAUACUGAUCAUUGGGGUCCCUGGCCACAACACACAGUAAGAUUCCCCCAAACUGUGUCUUCAAAUGGCAACCAUCCAACCCUAUAAAUGGCCUGCACCCUUCAACAAACCCCUUCUUGCAACCCUCCAAACACAUGUAAAAUCUCUGAAACCUAGGAUGUAAGGCUCCAGGAAACCUUUCAAUGCCAAUCUUACAUGUGUUUCCUCUGGACUUACUAAUGAGCUCUGCACUAAACCGAUACAGAAGAUGAUACUGUCUACUAGCAUCUCCCUCUACAAUCUCCAUGGCCAUCUGUCUUCCCUUCCAGGCUCUCCAUCUUGUGAUUCCAGCACAAAAUGCCACCUUGACCUCAUCUUGCACAUCAGUCAGCCUGAGCUUCCUUGAAUUCCUUACCUUCUCAGUCAACUUCUUAGCAACCCACUUACUUGAUGCAGACUUGUUAUUGAACACUCUAGGACAGGUAUGUGGUCCUAUCAUUGUUUUGAUACUAAAAGUUGCCUUUCCACCAACUUUACUACAAAGCAUGACGAAAGCACAAUCUUCUCUCCUACACUUGAUCCUGCACCUAAUGCCAUCAUUCUUCACAGUCCUUAUCUUCCUACCAUUCAGCACAGUAUGAUCCCUGACAGCAUCUUUAAAUUGUUUCAAUGAUCUGAAUUCCAUCCCAAGCUGGAACUUGAAAUCCUCCCUCAUGUCUUCCUCGUGAAACUGUGUGAAAUUUAUGUUCUCCUGUAGCAUAUCAUCAUCAUCACUGCCAAACACACUACCAAGGUCCUCAGAAUCAUAGGCAUUCUCCAUUUCAUGGUCACUGUGUAAACCGGUUCGACCAUCAGCAUCACCAAGGAUCACACUAGGCCCACUCCCAGCAAUUUCAUAUGUCCCUCCCUGCAUCUUCCUCAGCUAUUCAUUCAACAAAGACUCAGCAAUGCCAAUAUUGUUAUUUUGAAAGCCAUCAUCCUUGUCUACUGCCCUCUCUUCCUCAGAAUCACUAAAGUGAAUAUCCUGCACAGAAUCCUCCCCAUCAGUCUCAGACUCAUAACCAAAAUCAAUGUCCUCUUCUUCUUGUCCACCUUGCUCAACAUGUGGGAUGUUAUCAGGUACUUGAUCAUCACCUUGCACUUAAAAUAAAAUCUCUCAGUUAGAUAUUGAAAUUCACAAUUCACAAUCCAGCCCCAAUUUAAAUUCACAAUUCAAAGGAAGUAAAUAUCACACCUGCAACAUUACUUUCUUGCUGCUGCACCCCCACAGCUUCAUUAACAACUUCAAAUUUAUCACCACAUAGCAUGUCACCACUAAGCAUGUUCUCAGGGACUUGAUCAUCAGCUUGCACUUCAAAUAAUGACACAUAAUUUAGGGAAGGGAAUUGUAUGACAUAUAAUUAAGGGAAGUAGGAAAUUGAGAAUUGAAAAGAAAAGAGAGUCAAACCUGCAACAUUAGGUUGCCCCAAUUCUUCACCAAGCUGCUGCACCCCUAUAGCCUCAUUAAUAACUUGACUCUGACCACCCAUUUGGCUUCCUAGUCCACCUUGACCAUUAGGAACCACUUCACUUUCAGCACCAAUGUCUUCUUCAUCACUAGACAACACCACAAAUGCAAGCUGGCUAUUUUUCUUUUUUUCUCUCCCAAGCCAUUGCACUCUAUUUGACCUUCUAAGAGGCUGUGUAGCAGGUCUCUUGGCUGGAGUAGCCUUCUUUGGUGGAACAAAAUUCUUUGGUAACAUCAUACGUGGACCAUCCUGCUUUGGUAACAGCAUACGUAGACCAUCUGUAACACCCCGAUUUCCGGGUGCCACCUUAGUAACCAAAAAUAAACUUUACGCGGAAAACAGGUAAUUUUUUUUUUCCGUUUGAUUCUUUUAAAUUAAAGCGAUAAAGAAAUAAAGACAUAACCCAACAACUAAACUAACCGAUAUACAAUAUAUACACAUGUACAGCCUCAGCUGCACUCCACGUCACGCGAACCCGCAGUGACUCCAAAGUAGUGUGCCCGCAUGCAAAUAUAUACAAAACCAGAACUGUAAGUAAAAGUAUCAAAUAUACAGUCAUCCAAGAGAAAGUCGGCUACAAAAAUGGCCUGAACAAAAGACCCCUAUACUCCGACAGACUCUCUGUGAUUCUCCUCAAAAGAACCACACAAAAAGCCACACAUCGGGAACCUACCCUGUCCCAAAAAGUAAGACGAUUAGAGCUCUACACAAAAAAUGACGCUGCCUAACCUACCCUCCCAAUCCAGCUCAUAGCUCCUCCUCCUCAUCGCUGCUCGGCGAGUAGCUGUCCCCACUGCUCUCGGAGUCAGAGUUGGAAUCCACCGUAAUCAUCUCGGUGUCCAAGUCCACAACCUCCUUCCUAACUGUCCUGCGCACCGUCCUAGUCGAGCCGGUCUCCACAUCCACCUCUCCUGUAAGAACAUCCUCCUCCACCACCCUAACCAAGGGGUCCACACGGUAGCCGGUGAAGAGAAAGAAAAGAGACGUGAGGCAGAUGGGACGACAAACUCCCUCCUCGACCGCACAAGCCUAGAGGACGACGCCACGUCGGUAGGAUCAAUGGCAGUAGCAGGAGGUGGCGCAACAGGUGCAGCAACAACAGGCUCGAUCUCCGCUGGGUCCUCGUCAUUAGAAGAUGAAGCCGGAGGUGGUGCAGGUGGUCCUCGACCAGUACCUGGUCCACAGUGAACUGAGGGCGGCAAGUCAAAGCUCAGCUCCAUACGUCGUAGCACUCCUCUCGUCAAGCGUCCGCGCUCGUCUGUCCGGUCCUCCAUGACCCUUCCCCGGUACGUCACUCGGUGACCCGCAACAUCGAUCACCCAAGCGGUGGGGGCAUCACGAUCCACCAACUCAUACCUGACCCCCCCCCCCCGAGGGAGAGACCAUCGAAAACCAGUCGGCCAUCGACAUCUGGCAGCAGGCCGACCGCCCAAACACAAACAUGAAACCAAAGCCAAAGCGCUAGGGUCAACUCACGGAAAUAAGUAGAUAUACAAUCAACAUGUGAUGUGGGGUAUAGUUAUAUAUGUUGAUAUAUAUAUAUAAGCAAUCCUAGCAUGUUAUUGGCUCUAACAAUGCUUCAAUAAAUCAAACAGCACACAAUUCCAGUCAGAGUGAAUGUAUGCGUGAAAUGCAAUCAAUAUGAUCCGGAUAAUUGUGACGCGUUCCCGUUCGCCACAAGUGAAGCAUUCCCGUUCUUCACUAGUGAAGCAUUCCCGUUCUUCACUCUUGGUGAACCAUUCCCGUUAUUCACCGUAUGAUGAACCAUUCCCGUUAUUCAUCAAUAAUGCAUUGGUGAACCAUUCCCGUUAUUCACCAAAUGAUGCAAUGGUGAACCAUUCCCGUUAUUCACCAUAUAAUGCAUGAUGCAAUAUGGUUAGCCAAACAUUGAAUCGUCCUCACAACACAAGCGUUUAGCUCAAACCCAAUAUCAAGACAAACCCAAGAGUUAGUGUCGAUCAAUACAACACAACUCGGAGUUAGUGUCGGUCAAUACAACACAACUCCAACAACAAAAGAACCCAAGGGUUUAGUGUCGGUCAAUACAACACAACCCCAACAACAAGAGUACACAAGGGUUUAGUGUCGGUCAAUACAACACAACCCCAACAACAAGAGUACUUAAAAGAACUCGAUGACUUUCAAUCAUCACCGUAGCUCACCUCAGUGGCUUUCCCCAAUUCCAAAACCCACAACAAAAGUCGACUUUUCCCCGUCUUUCACAAUCAUUUUUCCCUUUAGGUUCCCUAUAUUUAUUCGUUUAGUAAAAACGUUUCGAAUUGGAUUAGUCAAGUUAUGAGUUUAUUUCUCAAAGUCUAAGUCUCCCAAAGUCUCUAGUUUUCGAAAUUCUAAUCAUUCUAAUUUUCCAAAAAACCUCCAAAAGAAGUUUCCCGGGGAAAGUGUAAGUAUUCCAACGAAUACCAACGAAUGGCUAAGUCUCAAACCCCACGUUUGAACUUGCCUAGGGUUGUUCAUCCAACCCGAAAUAUCAAAGAUCAUCAGUUCAGAGGUUCCCCACUCCAAAGUCGCGUCAAAACGCACAAUUCAACAAUAUCACAAUAUCACAAGUUAUGGAAAACAUCAUAGCAUCAACUCAUCAUCAUAAUCAACAUCAGAUAAAGCAUAAGUCGAAUUUAUCGACGCCUAUCAUGCAGUCAUAGCUAAUAGUAAGUUGCCCUAACCUCGAGCUGCUCCAGCCUCGUAAUCAAAGGUUCCUUCACUCAAAUGCUCUGAAGAUCCCAAAGUUCCUUCAACUGAACCUCGGAGAAAAACAAAGCAGAAUCCAAACAAAAUCGAUUAGUUCGAUCGCAAUACAACACAUUAACGAUAGACAAAGCAUUAAAGCUUCAGAAUACAACAAUCGGAUACGAAAAGACAAGUUUUCGAAAACGAAAAACUCCCUCCCCAUUGAUAUAGCUCUCGGCCACAAGGGAAAAAGGGCUCCGGCUCUUUUUCUUCGAUCAAAUCAGUUCACAAGGUAGUUUUAGGGUAAAACUAAGGCAAAGAAACUGUCGGAAAAAAUUUCGGACGAUCGGAUCGAAAUACGGCUGUUCAGGGGCGUUUUGGUCCAAAAUAAAAGCUCAAAACCUCAAAGUUAUCACUUCGGAAAACAAAUUUGACAGCAAUGAUCCUAACGACAUCCGUGACAACUAAUCCUAAAGGCACGAAGUCAGAUUACGACUUUUCGACAGUAAAGUUUCGAAAUGUGCGACAAAUAGGGUUUUGAAUCAGUUUUUCAGAUCCUUGACAACUCGAUCCAUAUCGGCGAAUACUGACGAAGGUUUUAGGCUCUUGGGCACGUAGAGAACAAACCCCAAAAGAGAAAUCAGGAAAAAAGGACAGUUUUACAAAAAGCUCAAAACUUUGAGCACAAAAACGACUACAGAAAAGCAGUAGAAACGAUGAUCAGAGGUAAGAAUCAAGCUAGUUACCUCGAUACCUUGAAGUAGGAACGAACUGCGCGAAGAUCGGUCAAGUUUCGGCGAAAAAUUUCUUCUCCCUCUCCUCUCCUCAACUCGCGGCCAACAAGGAAGAAAAUGAAGAUAUUUUUUGAAUUUUUAACUAUUUAUAGGAAGGUGAAAUCGCGGGAAAAUGAAAAUUUCGCGAUUUCGAUUUUUGCAGCACGUUCACCGAUGAAUUCUAAGAGAGAUUCUGGCGUCAGAAUUCCAGAACUCAAAACAAAUCUCAGACAUUUGGGAAAAACGAUAUCUAAAAUCCCAAAAGCGGUGUAAGUUAAUCUGUCCCGAAAAACUACUUUUUGCUGUGAUGGUCAGACGAUAAAACUUUGUUAUGAAGAAAGAUUGGAAAUGUCGAAGCAAAUCUGGCAACGCAGACGGAAACUUCGUUAGAAGUUCCGAAUAGAAAAAGUCUUCAUCCAGCGAUCAAAUCUAGGGUUUCGAAGCAAAGAAAUUAGCGUCGUCGGACUUCCGAAAAGUGAAUACUAUCGUGCGUACAGUCCAGGGUUCCGAAAUGAAAACACUGGUCGAAGGAAAAAUGAAGAGAACCUUUAAAUUUUCCAGGGAUUCGAAAUUUCACUUAAACGUUGCUCUAAAAGCGAAAUUAGCCUAUUCUGGACACGCUCGCCAUAAGGCAGGUGUGCAGACGACUCGCACUAAUUCCUAAAACGACUACGCAACAUUCCUCAAGCAAUUCCUGAACUUUCUUCUUCAUUAAUCUUUCUCAAACCUCAAACUCCUGUCACGCUUACACUGAUUCUACGCGCGAGUCGGAAAUUAACUUGUCCUGUAAAUCCAGGUCUUACACCAUCCUUCUUUGGUGGAAGAGAAAAUGGACCUACCUUCUGAGAUGGAGGCUUCUGAGAUGGAUGCUUCUGAGAUGGAGGCUUACAGGGUUUUUCAGGGUUCUUGGUUGGUUGGGUGGCAUAUGGAGUAAUAGUCAGCUCAUCAUCAUCAUGCUCCACAAACAUAUGGGCUAACCCUCUAUUGUCAACUGCAUAUGUGCCCAGCACCAUAGCAUCAUUAUCGGUCAACAAAGGGCGAAAUUUGCGAGCAAUGGCAUCAUCUUGUGUCCUCCACCAUAACUUGAACUUGCCUUCUCUAUACCCCAUUUCCUCAACAAUAUCAAUACAUUCAAGGUAACCCCACUUGUCCAGAUCAACAUCAGUAACGGUUGUCACUCGUCCCUCUCUGUAAUGAGGGUGUGGGUCCGAACAAAAUAACCCAGAAUGGUGCACAACAACUGUGAAUGCCAUAUCCUACAACAACAUAAGCAAAAAUUCCAAUAAAUUAUGUCUUUACUACCACUGAUGUUGAAUCAUUGAAAAACCCUAAAGUGAAGAAACCUAAACAGUGAAUCAACAUUUUGAGAUGAAAACCCAAAACAGAAAGGGAGUAUUUUCGAAAUGGAAUCUACUCAUUAGGCGCGGUGGUUUCGAAAACAAAGGAAGAAAGGGACCAACCUUUUAGGCGCAGCAGUCUCGUCGUUCUCUCACCUGCACCAGUCGCAGCCACCGUCACCACCAAAACUCAGUCGCAGUUCGUUCGAAGAAGGUAAGGGAUAAGGGAUGGAUAAUGGGUGGGUUAGAAUAGAUAAGGGAUGGAUUAUUAGGAUUAGGAUUAGUGAUUUUGUUUAUAUUAGAUUAGGUUUAAAUUUAGUUAAUUUAAGGGUUUUUAGUUUUUUUAUUUUAAAACAAAAAAAUGCCACGUCAUCUCAUUAAUUGACGUGGCAUGGCCAUGUGUGCAUGGUGGCCGGUGCAAAACUCAGGCACAGUGGUUUUGGCCACCGGAGGGACCAUUUCCGGAAGUUACUCCGGGGAGGGACCAAAACCAGCGCUCGCUCAAACAUCAGAGACCAUUUCCAUAGUUUUUCCUUACUUUUAAAGUUAUUUAAAUCGCUUUAACACUAUGAUUGGUAGCAAAGAGAGAGACAGAGAAGAGAGAGUAAAGAAAAGAGAAAAUGAGUAGAGAAAAAUAUGUGAGAAAUACAGUAGAUUUUGUAGGUUGUUUGGUAUGAUAGAGAUAGAAGAGAAGAGAGAUAUUACUUUUUAUAUUAAGACAUUUUUACCCUUAAAUUUUUAAAAUAUUUAAUUGUUUGUGAGAUUGAUAAAAAUAGUGGGCAAGGAUUAAAUUGGAAAUUACUUUAAAAAGUACCUUCGGUCAACUUUCUUCUCAAAAGUAAGAGACUGUAAAAAGGUGGGAUGGCCCACCACAAAGUUCUCUCUACUGCUACAGGGAAAGAGAACCAAACACGGAUGGAAGUGCAAACGCUCACCUAACUCCUUCUUCACUAAUUCUCUCUUGCGUAUCUCUACGCAAACAAACAUAGUGUAAAUGAACUGAGUUUAGGAUGAAAGAAAUACCAUAAAUAGUCUAUUGUGCCCAAUGAAUAAUUCGAUUAAGUGAAUGUUUAUGUUAGCAUUAAGGCAAAGGAAAACAUGAUUUCCUGGCGAGGAAGGCAUCAAGGGAGGGAACUCAACAUCGGAUAUGGGAGCAGCCACCAUCUGUUGUUUAUGAAUUAUUGUAUUUAAACGCGAUUGCAUAGUUUAUUUUUCCUGUCUAUUUUCCUAUGUAACCAAAUAAAAGGAAAACAUAAUUUCACGUAUUUCAAUGCAUCAAUAAAGAAGUUAAAAUUGGUCACGUUAAAUUUAAUGUGAAUUGGAGAAGAAUUAUUUUGAACCCGUUUGGGUUUCAUAUAUGAAUCUAUCUUUCUGAGGCACCUUGACUUCGGUCAAGCCCCAACUCUACCCUCAACCUUCUAUCUUUUAAACUUGGGUUUGUAGCCUCCUAUUAUAACACAAAUAGACAUUUUCUCACGUUAACUCCAAUGUGAAUCCAUGUUAAGUUCAAUGAAAAUCAAAAUACAUACUAACUUGCUCAAAAUUUAUAAUGUAGAUUUCUUUUAAAAUUUAAUUUUAUUUAUUUAAUAAAUAUCUCUGUUAUGACCUAUUUACACCUCACUAACAGACCAUUCAAAUGGCUUCCUCCUUCUCUGUGUCUUCAAUUCCUGCUGAUUUUUGGAACUGUUUCUUGAAGGUGAAGGCUAUUUCCCAUGUGAAGGACAUGUGAUGGCGUUUGGGUAACGAUGUUGUCCUAGUGUAGUCCAAUCUCUAUUCGUGGGGUAUGUAGCUCGACUCGUGACCUCGUUGCGUGUUGGAGCCGGAAACAGCUGUACAUACCUUCCUCUACUUCCAACCAUUUUGGUUUGCAUUCCAGGUGUCUUAGCGAAGCUAAGAUCUAGUGCUUGAUAGUAGUGGGUUUUUUGUUGUGAUUAUUUAACAAGUGAGUCGUCUUGCAACUUGGUUCGGGCGGACGUGACACCUUUAUCGGGCCAGUCAAGCUACUCUAGAGGCUCAUCCUUCUCGAGCAAUGACAAAGUCAACAUAACAUUCGGACAUCCACAGUCGAAUAUCCCGCAAAUCACGACAGGAUGAAGGGAGAGGUCAUGACGUCAACAAUGAUAUAUACACACCUCAUUUCUUAUACACUUAAUUUUCACCUAUUUUAAUUUAUAUCUCUCUCCUCUUAUCAUCUAUCACAUCUUAUAUUUCUCUCUCUUACUUUUUUCUUUAUUCGUCAAGACAUUCAUCCUAAUUAGUGCAUCAUGUUCCCUUUAGUCAUUCGACCGUGUAAUAGACGUAGGAAUUAGGGUUAGAGUGUCCACCCACUAUAAAAGGGGGGCUCUUUAUGUCUAAAGAUCCAUCAUUUUCAUACUUGAGCAAUACAGUAAGUCUUUUUCACUAGUCUUACUCACGGAAAGUUCAUUCAUGAACAUUGGCGCAAACCGCGAGGUCUCGGUAAAACUCUUCCCAAACCCUCAAGGUUCCCCACCCUUUUUUGCACCAUUUAAACAAGAUCCAGCAGUAACAACACCAGAUCUUCCAUGAGAGCUUUCUCUUAAAAAGUAAUUAGUGUCUACUAUUCAUGAACAUAUAUAGGCACUAAAAGUUUAUGAUAAACUAACAUGACCCUUUUGCUUUUGUCUCGUUGGGGGAAUCAAUUUCUCUUGCCUUAUCAUGGGUGGCAUAGCUUCUAUAUAUAAGAGUCAAAAACUCUAAAUUGUGAGCUACUACAUUUCUAUGGAAAUUUACUUUUUUUAACAAUAAUUACAUCUUUGGAAAGACUUAUGUAUAAUUAAUUUUGAAGUCAUAAUUCAUUUUAGAAAAAAGUUUUGGAUUUUUUAAUGAUAAAAAACUAAUUACCAAACAAAGAAUUAAAGUAAAAAAAUUACCACCAUGAGUUAGGGAACAUGUAAGUUGGGUGGGGGAGGUGUGGGGAUUAAUUUCAGGCGGAUGCAAUUUAUUUUUCCGGAAAAAAUAAAAAGAAACAAACUGUCAUGUUGGAGUUGUUUUGGACUUGUAUGUAGCUGAUGUGGCCUGCUAUAAAAUUAACUUGACUCACAAUGAGGCAUAUGUAUCAUGCAAUCUACUACAUCUUAUUCUCGAGUUACUAUUCAUAAGAAACCACCAAUGAGAUUCUGCCACCUGCCUUUCUUCCAUUUAUCCUACCAUUUUUUUUUUCAUAAUCGUCUUUGGGAGACGAUGUCGUUUCCACUUAAUCUUUGACUCAAUCUUGGAUAGGAUGUCGUUCCCCACCUAAUAUGUCUGCUUCCCUUCGCUCAAUCAACCCUAGCUGGCAAUUGCGUGUUGCCUCUCCCUCUCUACCCACUCCGCCCCUCUCUCAAAUCAACCCAUCGUUGGCAAUGGCGUGUUCCUUUCCCUCUCUACCGUCUCUCCCCUUCCUUGUAUUUCCUCCUAUCCCUCUAUUGCGAACCCUAGAUUUCUUUCCGUGUUCAACUUAUUUUUUCCACCCACUAUUGACCAAGCCAUCACGUUCUAUUUUCCGGUUGAUCUGAUGAUUCAUUACCAUCGCCGUCGUUUACUGUUUAUUCGUCAUGUUUUUCCAUCAGUACAUGAAGUUUUGGGUUCCAAUGCAUCUUCAGACCUUGAUCUGUGUUCAAAUGGUCAGUAUCAAUUCAAAUCUCAAUUAAUUUUCCUACUACUUACACACUUUUGUAUGAUGAUUACCUACAUGUGUUGUAUUGUCCGUGUAGUUUAUAAAAUUUCCUAUAAAUACUCCCUUGCUGUGAACUUCUAGUCAUCACAGUUGCCCUCUAAUUCUGUUUUCAAAAAUUUCAAAAAUUUUCCUUUAUUUGCACUGGUUUCACUAAUCUCUCCUUUUUCUUUGCACUAAUGUCUGGACACAUGAGUUCCAUUCGAAGCUUAUGCCCUGGUAGAGAAGCUUGGAAGAUCAAAGCAAGGGUUAUUAGGAGGUGGGAAAUGGCCCCUACUGCUGAACCUUCCAAGCCAUAUGCUUUGCAACUUGUCCUGAUUGAUUCUGAGGGUUCCAAAAUAGAGGCUACUAUCAAGAAGUAUUUGAUCAGCAAGUUCCAAAGGGAUGUUCUUGAAGGCAAUGUUUAUAAUUUUACCUUUUUCGUUGUGAUUGAUGACAAUGGAUCAUAUCAUGCUGCUGAUCAUGAGUACACGAUUCUCUUCAAUAGCAGGACGAAGGGUCAAGUUGACCAGUGUGAAAGCAUUCCCAGAAUGGGUUUAACAUUGAAAGAUACCGCUGAAAUUCACAUGACUAUGGGAGAGUCUGAUUUCUUGAUAGAUAUUAUUGGAUUGGUUACAGCUGUUUCUGCUGAGCAACAAUUUACCAAGUCUGGAAAUGUUACUAGAAAGAUUGAGUUGGAGAUAACUGAUCAUAAGCAUGUCAUAUCUAACCUAUCAUUUAAUUAAUACUCACUGAUAAGCAAGAGACAUUGGUUAAAAAGUGGUUGUGUUUGACACUUGAUUAUUCCCACUACUCGUGGGAAUUGUUUGUUGGAUAAUGGUAUUUAAGUGUCAUUUG